rnacentral:rRNA from 1 species
GAUGAACGCUGGCGGCGUGCCUAAUACAUGCCAGUCGAGCGAACAGACGAGGAGCUUGCGCCGCUGUCGUUAGCGGCGGACGGGUGAGUAACACGUGUAUAACCUACCUAUAAGACUGGGAUAACUUCGGGAAACCGGCGCUAAUAGCGGAGAAUAUAUUGAACCGCAUGGGUCAAUAGUGAAAUACGGUUUUGCGGUCACUUCUAGAUGGAUCCCGGCCGCAUUAGCUAGUUGGUAAGGUAACGGCCUAUCAAGGCAAGGAUGCGUAGCCGACCUGAGAGGGUGAUCGGCCACCCUGGAACUGAGACACGGUCCAGACUCCUACGGGAGGCAGCAGUAGGGAAUCUUCCGCAAUGGGCGAAAGCUUGACGGAGCAACGCCGCGUGAGUGAUGAAGGUCUUCGGAUCGUAAAACUCUGUUAUUAGGGAAGAACCAAUGUGUAAGUAACUAUGCACGUCUUGACGGUACCUAAUCAGAAAGCCACGGCUAACUACGUG